AACGAACGCUGGCGGCAUGCCUAACACAUGCAAGUCGAACGAGACCUUCGGGUCUAGUGGCGCACGUGUGCGUAACGCGUGGGAACCUGCCCUUAGGUUCGGAAUAACUCCCCGAAAGGGGUUCUAAUACCGGAUAAUGUCUUCGGACCAAAGAUUUAUCGCCUUUGGAUGGGCCCGCGUUGGAUUAGCUAGUUGGUAGGGUAAAAGCCUACCAAGGCGACGAUCCAUAGCUGGUCUGAGAGGAUGAUCAGCCACACUGGGACUGAGACACGGCCCAGACUCCUACGGAGGCAGCAGUGGGGAAUAUUGGACAAUGGGCGAAAGCCUGAUCCAGCAAUGCCGCGUGAGUGAUGAAGGCCUUAGGGUUGUAAAGCUCUUUUACCCGGGAUGAUAAUGACAGUACCGGGAGAAUAAGCUCCGGCUAACUCCGUG
rnacentral:rRNA from 1 species